GAAAGAAGAGAAAGAGGAAAAAGAAUGGAGAGAAAGAGAAAAGAAAGAAGAAAAGAAUGGGAAGAAAGAAUGAGAGACAUUUUAUAAUUAAAACAACUUAAUCAUAUUUCAUAGCCAUAUCAAAUUACACAUGUAAAGGCGUACCUGAAGAAAUAAAGAGGAACUUAAAGAUCCUCAACACUGAGCCAAUUAAUUUUCAGACUGUCCAACCAACUGAAUUGUAAGGAUGUUUGUAUGAUAGAGCACUUUGGUUGUUGGCAUUGGAGCUGUUGGUGUCUAUUUCGAUCGCUGUAAAAGAUUUCACUGAAUUUUGAGAUUGGUAACAAGUUGGAGAUUAAUAGUUAACAGAAUUACAUUGAUGUUACUAGGAAUUAACUUGGAUCUUGUGGAAGCUGGUAAAUUGAGGUCUGUCUUUGGAGGGAAGCAAUUUUUCUCAUCCCUGCAUAUUUAGCUCUUUCUAGUAUUUUGGCAUUUAAGAGUUGUCUUUGGUAUCCACAACACCUUUAAAAGUAGUAACUCUAGCAAACAUUUUCCAGCACUUUCAAGAAUGCUUGUAAGUCCUGUCUCUACUUUUCAUGUUGCACAUUCUAAAUAGCAGGUACAAAAUAGUUUCCAUAAUCACUUCCUAAGAAUGUCGCUUUUCUUCCUUCUCCUGCAUACUUGGCUUUUUAUUAUGCUUUUCUUACUACAGUGAGAGACAUGUAGCAUAGGUUUCAGGCUGAUUAGGGACAGAAGUUAACAAGCAUCAUUGUCUCUUAAUGUUUCUGCAAACAUGGGAUUGCCAGGAAUUAAGAGUUGCUCAUCAAAUAUUUAUCAUC
rnacentral:lncRNA from 1 species